rnacentral:pre_miRNA from 1 species
CCUCCCUGGCCCGUCUUUUUUUUUCUCCGUUCGCUUUUGGCGUCAUGGUCCUCAUUUGGGCUGGUACUAUGACACUCAAGCGAGCGAAGAGAACGGUGGGAG